CAAAAAGACCGCGAAACCGUUAGGAGGGAAACGCGUGCAGCUGAAUUGCGGCUCGUCUCGAGCUCAGGAGCGAUGGUCGGUCGGCGAUGCCUAACCUGCGAGAGCCGAGAUGCCUCUCAGGUUGGAUAGCCUCCGUCUCCUCUGCAAUCUCGGGCUUGCCGGCCAGCAACGGCUGCCUGUGGCCGACGAGGGCGAUCGGGCAGGUGGUCUCCCCUCGGGGAGAACCUUACAGCCGAUCGCCUGGCGGUUCGCAGGUGGUCGAGGUUGAUCCUCAGGCAGCACAGGCCCUCGUGGCGUGGGCCGCUUCUGGUCGUUCUGGCGUCGCUUCGGGGACUGCGUGCAGUGCCCGUCGACGGCCGACAGCUCGGCCGGGAGGCAGGUCUCAACCUGUGCUCAGGUUGCCGGUGUUCAAAUGACUGCACGCGA
rnacentral:rRNA from 1 species